rnacentral:RNase_P_RNA from 1 species
ACAGUAGGCUGGUUUGUCGCACCACCACUGGUGGGGAGGAAAGUCCGGGCAACACAGAGCACCAUAUUUCCUAACGGGAAGCAGUCCGCGAGGGUUGAGUAGUGUAACAGAGAAUAAUUUCAAGUUCGCAAGAACGUGUAAAGGUGAAAAGGUGAGGUAAGAGCUCACCGGUACUACUGGCAACAGUGGUAGCCGUACGCCUUAUGGGUUGCAAGAUCAUGUAUACCGGCGCAUGUAGGAUGGCUCGUCCGAUGCCGGGGGGUAGAUUGCUAGAGGUGCAAGGCGACUUGUACCCAAGAUAAAUGACAGACAUUUUGGCGCAAGCCGAAAAACAGAACCCGGCUUAUAGGCCUACUGCUUUU